rnacentral:rRNA from 1 species
ACAGCAGCCGCCGCGGUAAAACGUAGGUGGCAAGCGUUGUCCGGAAUUAUUGGGCGUAAAGCGCGCGCAGGCGGUUUCUUAAGUCUGAUGUGAAAGCCCCCGGCUUAACCGGGGAGGGUCAUUGGAAACUGGGAGACUUAGAGUGCAGAAGAGGAGAGUGGAAUUCCAUGUGUAGCGGUGAAAUGCGUAGAUAUAUGGAGGAACACCAGUGGCGAAGGCGACUCUCUGGUCUGUAACUGACGCUGAGGCGUGAAAGCGUGGGGAGCAAACAGGAUUAGAUACCCCAGUAGUCCCUGUCUCUUAUA